CACGUAAUGUGUGGAAUUUCCAUAUUUAAAUUUAUUCACAAGAUGACUGUUAAGUUUAAAGUAUAAGGAGUGGUCACAUUUUGUUUGUUUAGGAUUCUGUAGAUAGGAUAGAAGAACAUGCCACAUAUGACGGACCUUAGUAUAGAAUCUUCACAGCCGACUAAAUAUUGAACCUCAAUGGCAGUUUUAGUUUCAUUUUUCAAGACUUCAAUACGUGUAGCAGUUUAUCGAGCAAGAUCUAUAAGCAUAUUUAAGGCUACCAUCGUUGCUGGAAAGAGGAGACAAGAACCAAGAACCCGGAAACAAAAACUCGAAACAAAAACUUAUAUACCAAAACCAGCUACAGCAGAAAUUCAACGAAAACUUUUAAUCCCAAGUGACGUAAAAGAGGCAUAUGCUCAUCAUCAGUAUAGCACAGAUGGGACGCAUCCAAUGUUGAAUUCCAGAACACUAGAUAGAGGCAGACCUUAGUAGCAACUAAUCUCAAAUUAUCUUUGAAAUAUUUUUGUUUGUGAAUUUUUAUAUAUUUACUUGUAAAUUUGUGUUUAUGUUUUUCCAUUUUUGGUCUUUCUGGAUACAUUUUGUGUAAAGUAGUCAUUGUUAAUACAUCAGUUUUCAAGAUGAAUAGAAA
rnacentral:lncRNA from 1 species